CGAAUCGAUGAAUUCUGAAAACAAGACCAGGAAAACGACAAAGAAGGACGCUGCACAUGGCGUUGCCCUGGGAACAAGGGUUUCCGUAGCGAGGGUGGCCCCCACGUCAGAGUGUCAGAGCAACUCAGCUGACCUGUCGGACACCUGCGGCCUCCCUGCAUCAGGCUGGAGUCUCCCGUGGCCAUCGUUCACCGUUCUGUCUCCAUGGGAAUGAUCGGAUA